UGGGACCACAAGCGUGAGCCACCGCGCCCGGCCCAGAGAUGGAUUUCUAUCAAAAGGAGCCACUAUGUGCUGUUACAUGCCAUAUACACGACAUGGGCAGUGUUUAAUCAUUCCCUUUGCAAAGCAUCCCCAAAUUGGGAGAGGCUGGAUGGAUGACUAAGUCAAGUUGGUGCAAAAUGAGUCACGUUUCUUGAAGGUCACUUCCCCAAAUGUAUGAGCCACCAAAGGGAAAGGAAAACUAUUUCUUAAGAACCCUAGGAGAGCUCCUUGUUUAAAGCAGGGCCCCUCACCGCAGCAAUAUUUUGGAUCAGUGUUAAAGAUCACUGAAAAGACCAAAAGGUUGGCAGCAGGUGAGGGAAGGAAAAACAAAGCAAGCAGCCAGAGGAUCUGCAAACUCAAUAAUCAGCCUUUGAAUAGAGUGAAAAAUGUAAAGCUAUUUGGGAGACUUAAAAGGUAAACACUAUGAAAAACCUGACAGUGAGUUUUAAAUAUGUUCCUCUUUAUAAGAGUCUGACGUCUGAUUGAUUGAUUUCACAGUUCUCCAAGAUGGGUAAUGUGGAAAAAGACAACAGAAUUUAGCCUUUUUAAGCUCAAGAGUAUAAGAGAGGACUGUUACUUAACAAACAGGGAACAGUAAUCACACAAGUACUUCAAAUAUAUCCAAGAAUUACUAUCUAACAUGUAAAACAGGUUCUUACACUGGAUCCCUUCUAUGACACACCAGGGUGAGUGAAUGAAUAUAUGUGUGUGUGUGUGCACGUGCAUGCGUGAGAGAGAGAAAUGCCUCAUAUUCCUAUCUCAACCAAAUGGGCAGGAAAACUUCUUUAACAACAGUUGGCUAUUAGUCUCACAGCGAUAUUCAGAAAAUAACUCUAUAUAACUCUAUUUUAAUGUUAAACUUCUCAUCCUUCUUCUUCCAGAGAUGUCAGUAAACUAUGUACCAGGACUGCCCAUUUUUCUCCUAUCAGGUGGCAGAAAACUUGAAAAAGAUUCUGAAGUUUGCCCUUAUAAGUCUAAGGAGACAGGAUAGAAAGUAUCAAGCAUACUAUCUUCCUGAAAACUUGGCUUUCCCUGGGAAGGAACUCAGCUUGAAGAGCAUUUUGUAGAUUAUGAUUAAUGCUUAACUAACUCUGCUUCUACUUUUCUGACCACUGGCUGCCAGUACUAAAUAAAAUGUGCCACAACCAAAGAACAUAACAGAAUUAAAUAUGUAUUGGACCUUAAAAAAUGCUUCUUGAGAAUUAAAAGAAAAAAAUACAUAUGAAGGA